ACCUCGGUGGUGUAGUGGUAGCACGCGCCCCCCGUAAAGAUGAAACGCGGGUUCGAUUCCCGCCUGAAGCC